CUCUCUCUCUCCUCUCUCCCCUUCACUUGCUCCCUCUCCUUCACUCACUCAGUCUCUUUCCUUGCCUCCCCCUUUCCUCUCUCGCUCUGAUUUCCUCCAGCCCGUUGGAGUUGCUGUGACACUCUCUAGAUGGGUGGUUGGUGUUGAUCUCCACAGAGCUGGAGAAGAGAAGGGCCCUUCCAACUCCUCAUCCUCGGAGCGAGAUCGCCUCUCUUCUCCUCAAACAACUUGACGAUGUCGCCUCCGCCUCCCCCUUGCCGUCUGCUCCGUCGCUGCCACCCUCCAUGCCCCUACCCCCUUUGCUGGACCCAGAGGUUGAUAUGGAAACACUGGAGGUAUACACGGACGGAGAGGAUUUGAUCUCUAUGACGGCCGAGCGGCUCAGCGCGGUGAUCCAGGCCUUCUACAUGUGCUGUUCCUGUCAGAUUCCACAGGGGAAUCCAAAGAUCAUCUUUUCCACUUCCUGUUGGAAUGUCCGGAGCUAAUGUCCCGCUUCAUGCACAUAAUCAAAGGCCAGCCCUUCAAGGAGCGCUGUGAGUGGUUCUAUGAGCACCUAUUGGCAGGACAGCCAGACUCAGACAUGGUCCAUCAACCUGUCAACGAG